rnacentral:rRNA from 1 species
CCGGCGCACGGGUGAGUAACACGUAUGCAACCUGCCCGUCUCAGGGGGAUAAUCGUCGGAAACGGCGUCUAAUACCCCGUAUGAAGCUGGAUGGCAUCGUCUGGUUUUGAAAGAAUAUCGGAGACGGAUGGGCAUGCGGCGCAUUAGCUAGUUGGCGGGGUAACGGCCCACCAAGGCGACGAUGCGUAGGGGUUCUGAGAGGAAGGUCCCCCACACUGGUACUGAGACACGGACCAGACUCCUACGGGAGGCAGCAG